GAUGAACGCUAGCUACAGGCUUAACACAUGCAAGUCGAGGGGCAGCAUGGUCUUAGCUUGCUAAGGCUGAUGGCGACCGGCGCACGGGUGAGUAACACGUAUCCAACCUGCCGUCUACUCUUGGCCAGCCUUCUGAAAGGAAGAUUAAUCCAGGAUGGGAUCAUGAGUUCACAUGUCCGCAUGAUUAAAGGUAUUUUCCGGUAGACGAUGGGGAUGCGUUCCAUUAGAUAGUAGGCGGGGUAACGGCCCACCUAGUCAACGAUGGAUAGGGGUUCUGAGAGGAAGGUCCCCCACGUUGGAACUGAGACACGGUCCAAACUCCUACGGGAGGCAGCAGUGAGGAAUAUUGGUCAAUGGGCGAUGGCCUGAACCAGCCAAGUAGCGUGAAGGAUGACUGCCCUAUGGGUUGUAAACUUCUUUUAUAUGAGAAUAAAGUGAGUCUCGUGAGACUUUUUGCAUGUACCUUAUGAAUAAGGACCGGCUAAUUCCGUGCCAGCCGCCGCAGUAA
rnacentral:rRNA from 1 species